rnacentral:rRNA from 1 species
CAGUAGCCGCGGGAAUACGAAGGUCCUGAGCGUUGUUCGGAAUCACUGGGCGUAAAGGGAGCGUAGGCGGCGUGGUAAGUCAGAUGUGAAAUCCCGGGGCUCAACCCCGGAACUGCAUCCGAUACUGCCAUGCUAGAGGAUUGGAGAGGUAGCUGGAAUUCUUGGUGUAGCAGUGAAAUGCGUGGAGAUCAAGAGGAACACUCGUGGCGAAAGCGAGCUACUGGACAAUAACUGACGCUGAGGCUCGAAGGCCAGGGUAGCGAAAGGGAUUAGAUACCCGUGUAGUCCCUGUCUCUUAUAC